AACCUGAGCUCAGUCGUGACUACCCGCCGAACUUAAGCAUAUCAUUCAGCGGAGGAAAAGAAACUAAAAGGGC
rnacentral:rRNA from 1 species